rnacentral:rRNA from 1 species
GAUGAACGCUGGCGGCGUGCCUAAUACAUGCAAGUCGGGCGAACGGACGAGAAGCUUGCUUCUCUGAUGUUAGCGGCGGACGGGUGAGUAACACGUGGAUAACCUACCUAUAAGACUGGGAUAACUUCGGGAAACCGGAGCUAAUACCGGAUAAUAUUUUGAACCGCAUGGGUCAAAAGUGAAAGACGGUCUUGCUGUCACUUAUAGAUGGAUCCGCGCUGCAUUAGCUAGUUGGUAAGGUAACGGCUUACCAAGGCAACGAUGCAUAGCCGACCUGAGAGGGUGGUCGGCCACACUGGAACUGAGACGCGGUCCAGACUCCUACGGGAGGCAGCAGUAGGGAAUCUUCCGCAGUGGGCGAAAGCCUGACGGAGCAACGCCGCGUGAGUGAUGAAGGUCUUCGGAUCGUAAAACUCUGUUAUUAGGGAAGAACAUAUGUGUAAGUAACUGUGCACAUCUUGACGGUACCUAAUCAGAAAGCCACGGCUAACUACGUG